CUCAGGAUGAACGCUAGCGGCAGGCUUAACACAUGCAAGUCGAGGGGCAGCAUGAAGGUUAGCAAUAACCUUUGAUGGCGACCGGCGCAAGGGUGCGUAACGCGUGACGCAACUUGCCCGUUUCAGGGGGAUAACCGGUGGAAACGCCGACUAAUACCCCAUGGCAUCAUUGGGAGGCAUCUCCUUCUGAUUAAAGAAUUUCGGAAACGGAUAGGCUCGCGUGACAUUAGCUAGACGGCGGGGUAACGGCCCACCGUGGCGACGAUGUCUAGGGGUUCUGAGAGGAAGGUCCCCCACACUGGAACUGAGACACGGUCCAGACUCCUACGGGAGGCAGCAGUGAGGAAUAUUGGUCAAUGGUCUGACGACUGAACCAGCCAUGCCGCGUGAAGGUCACGGCCCUAUGGGUCUUAAACUUCUUUUGCAAGGGAGCAAUAAGCCUCACGUGUGGGGCGAUGAGAGUACCUUGCGAAUAAGCAUCGGCUAACUCCGUG
rnacentral:rRNA from 1 species